GCAGACAAACUGCAAGUUGUAGAUCAAUUGUUGAAAGUGAGUAUUGUGAAAGCUUUCUAUGGUUAUUCUAUGGUUUGUAGUGAGAACGUUCCAUUUAUUUCCAUUUAGGGUGCUGUUGAGAAAGUGAAUGUUUGCAUUGUGAACCAUUAUUUUGUCCAAGUAGUCCAUAAUGGGAAAGUGGGAGGAAGGCGGGGAAGAAAAGAGUAGGUCCCCCCCCCCAAAAUAGAAUCCGACUCAGGGAAGAACAAACAGAUUGCCCUUUUUUAAAGGUAGGCAUUUGUGAAGAGCAUUUGAUUAUCAUUUGCUGCCCCCCUACAUUCAUUGCUACCAUUAAGGAAAUGAAAGGUGGGGCGUCUCAUUGUAGAUCUCCCCAAGCAGUGUUUCAUAUGUAUCUGGACUUUGAUUAUAGAGAGCACUUUUAAAUAGCUGACAACCCUUCAAAGUAGAUGACUUUCCUCUGUAUAGGUGGGCACCUGACAUAGUGUUAAGAGUACAUAAAAGCCUAAGUAAUUCCAUUUGCUUUUCAAUUUAGGAUCCUGAGGUGCAUUUGACACUGGAACGUGCUGAUGUGAAUGGAGCCGUGGGAGGUUUGCAAGGUUUAUUGAGCGGUCUUGAUUUGAACAACUUACUGAGCGUGAGUAUUCUGGAACUUUUCUGUAUUUUUUAUAUAGUCCGUAGUGGGAAGGUAGUAGGGAGGCAAGGUGGAAGUUCUUUUCUGCCUCAGAAUAUGAUCCUAGCCAGAAAAGAAUAUGACAAAUAAUCAAUUCUCCUGUUGUAAGCAGCCUGCUAUAGAAGGAACCCUUUGCAGCUGAAUUAUCUCUUUUCUUCAUAGUAGUGUUAGAUCAUGGUAUAUAUUAGAUUUGGUCCACAUUUCCAGAAAUACUAUCUUGAAGAGUUUGGUACUUAAGCAACAAGGUUACUCACAGUUUCCCGCAGAGUUUUAGGUGUCUCUUGGGAUCUUAGUAGGCCACUCCCUUCCCUGGGGGCGGGGUUGCGGGCAGGCCCCACACUCCCAGUGUGGGGAGAGAGCCAGUGUGGUUAAGAGCGAUGGACUUGUAAUCUGGGGAACCGGGUUCGCGUCUCCGCUCCUCCACAUGCAGCUGCUGACCUUGGGCCAGUCACACUUCUCUGAAGUCUCUCGGCCCCACUCACCUCACAGAGUGUUUGUUGUGGGGGAGGAAGGGAAAGGAGAUUGUGAGCCGCUUUGAGACUCCUUAGGGUAGUGAUAAAGCGGGAUAUCAAAUCCAAACUCUUCUUCUUUUUCCCACCGUGUUUAGCGGGGGUGUGGCAGUGCCCUCACAUCAUGGGGGAGUCCCGGCCGCGUCACACCCCCACUGACCAAUCCAGUCGGCCGGGGCCGUGGCUUAUAGCAUUUAUGCAGCCACACGGCCUGGUUGUUCUCCAUCUUGGUUCCUGCCUCAGCACAUCCACAGGGCUCCCCCUACUGGUGGUUGACCCUUACUGGAUUACCUGCAUGUCGGGCAAGAGUCAGAUAUAGUCAGUUCAAUUCCAAUGCCUAAGCCAAUACCACUCACAUUCUGUGACCAAUUAAGUUGUGGCCUUUGUUAGCCCAUUAACCUAAAAUACUGGUGUCCAUGUGUUUUAUUAUUCAACAAAUGGGGGAAGGCUCAGGGCCUUGACAUGCAAUGCAGCACAUGGAAAUAUGGGACAAUGCUGCCUAUUGGAUGUUGAGGUCCUCUCCCUUAUACACCUCAGUGAUGAAUGCUUGAGCUGCUGAGGAAAGACUAACUAUAUACACACUUCUAUAUUUCAGGGUGUUACUGGUCUAGUUGUGAGUAUUGCUGAUACUUUUAAAUGAGCAAUAUUUUGGUUUACAACAAAAGGGGCAUUAUUACUAUUAUUAAUAUUAUUUAACUAGAUGAUACCCAGUAGCUUCUGUUGCAUUUGAGUGUAAUCUUUGCUUGUGGCCCUAGCGACAUUAGUGCAGUCUGAGUAAUAGCAGUACUAUGGUUCUCCAAGUGGAAAUGGAGAGAAGCAACAGGUUGAGCCUCUGCAUAAAGUUGUUAACCCCAUUCCCACCCCCUAGUGCUGCAUUUCAUGUGGGGACCCCAAAUGCUUCCCCCUCAGAAUAGUGCCUCAUUUCCCACCCCACCCCCAAACAGGGCUGGAAGGCAGGAAAAAUGGCACUGAGCAUGAAAUGCAAAUCUUACCCCCUGGGGGCAAGGGAGGCGCGUGUGGGGAAAGGAGUGGUAUUCAAGAAUCCAUUUAGCCUUCUGAUAUCUUACAUGCCUGAGUUUUCUACCACAAGCCUAGAAUGGAAAACAGACAAAUGUGCAGAUUGGUGCCUCAUUAUUUGCAUUUUUAUCUUGUAUUUACAUCUUGUGGACCACCAUGAGAUCUUCUGAUUAAGGGCAGUAUAUAACAAAUAUAUUAAAAAUAAAUAAUCGUAAGAAACAUUUUACAGUAGCUAUGAGCCUACAAAAGCUUCCCUCUGUGCUGAAAUGGUUGCCUUCCUUGGUCUAUUUAUUCAGAGGAGACCGAUUGAAAUUAAUUACCUAAGUUAGUCAUGUCCAUUAAUUUCAGUUGGUCUUCUAUGAACAAAAUAUAUAUUUCUCAGUGAUAAGCAAAUCUUUGUUCUGGGUAGCCUCUCCUUCCUUUCAAUUAAAUGCCUGUUUGCUAGUCAUUUAGUGACCUGUAGUGACUUACUUAGUGCCCUAAGGAAACAGAGAAAUAACUUGUGUCUUUUGCUUCUUUUUCAACAACAAUCUACCUGAGCAGUAAAGAAUUGUAAGUAUUUCUAUGUACAUAGUCUACAUAUGGUUCAUCUGUGUCAUUAGCAAUAUCCUGGUGGGACUGAAAUACUUCAGGGGAAAGGAUUACCUUUCUCUGAGAGCCUCCUAUGUGUGAAAUAUUUUCUAGUCUGUAGAGAAGCUAUCACAUUAGGGGGUAGGAUGGGUACCCUGUCACCACUGAAUAUGCUUUGACUCGAAUCCACAGUAUAACAUAUAUACUCCGUCAUACAAAAUGAAAUCAAGACCCUACUAAUAAAACUUCAGCUCUGUUGACUAGAUAAUGUACUCAACUCUGAUGAUAAGCUGGAGAGUUAAAGUUGGUCCUGUGGUGAUACCACUCAGGGCCUGGACUCCAGAGAAAUGAUGCUCUGCAGAUAUUGUUGGAUGCUAAGCCCCAUCAUUGCUGAUCAUUGGCUAUGCUGGCUAGGAAAGAUGGGGAUUGGGUUCAAGAACACUGGUAGGUUGUCCCUCAAUUCCCUUUAGAAUAAGAUUGUCAUCACUAGAUUAAUUUAUAUGAUUUACUUUAUUAUUUCCAGGUGUAUUACGGACUGAACAUACCUACACUCCUGGACCAGAUUGACAAUGACUUCUUGCUCCUGCGCAUUCCACAUUGCCACUCCAAAGCCAAUCAAGUGAAACCAGAGAAUCACGAAUCAUACUAGUACACUUUAGAUAAUUUAUGUAACUGAUUUUGUUGCCUUUGUAAUAGAGGGCAGAGGGCACUAAAAACUGCCCUACUACCCCCCCCAGAGGAUGGCAAUCGCUUUGCAAAAAUAAAAGAAAAUUGCAAUGGCA